GCCGGCGUGGUGGAAUGGUAGACACGACAGACUCAAAAUCUGUUGCUCGCAAGGGUGUAAGAGUUCAAGUCUCUUUGCCGGCA
rnacentral:tRNA from 1 species